ACAGCAGUAGCCGCGGUAAAACGUAGGUGGCAAGCGUUGUCCGGAAUUAUUGGGCGUAAAGGGCUCGCAGGCGGUUUCUUAAGUCUGAUGUGAAAGCCCCCGGCUCAACCGGGGAGGGUCAUUGGAAACUGGGAAACUUGAGUGCAGAAGAGGAGAGUGGAAUUCCACGUGUAGCGGUGAAAUGCGUAGAGAUGUGGAGGAACACCAGUGGCGAAGGCGACUCUCUGGUCUGUAACUGACGCUGAGGAGCGAAAGCGUGGGGAGCGAACAGGAUUAGAUACCCCGGUAGUCCCUGUCUCUUAUAC
rnacentral:rRNA from 1 species